AAAAAAAAGCUUAUUAGGGGUAACACAGGACAGGUGCGAGUGAUCAGUGGGACAUGUGACAUGCUGGGGCUGAUGGGUAAUGUGUGGAUUUCAGCAUAACCAUGACACAUAGCUGCUUCAGUGAAAAUGUUGAAUUGUGCAAGUGCAAGUCUCAGUCUAAAAAUAAAGAAAAACAUCUUGAUGCACUGAUGGAAUGUUCUGCAAACCGUUGUUGUAGCUUGUUACUGGUUAAAUGUCGCUCAGUAUUAGCUGGAGAUAUCGGAUUAAGACAAAGUUAGCUAUGUUUUCUUCAAAUGAGAUCACUUUUCUAACGCAAAACAUGCUCGACAAGAUUCAUUUUCUUUUUACACACAGAAACGAGGCUUUUUUUACUUUCUUGAAAUGUUUUUUUUUACAGCGUUGGAUCAGUGGGGGGAUGGAUGGAUAGACAGGUACAGGGGUGGAUGGAUAGACAGG
ensembl:lncRNA